GGGUGCGACCAUACCAGCACCAGUGAACCGGAUCACAACAAAACUCCGCAGUUAAGCAUGCUUGGGCGAGAGUAGUACUGGGAUGGGUGACCUCAUGGGAAGUCCACGUGUUACACCCC